rnacentral:lncRNA from 1 species
CCCAAUUCUCCUUGAGAAAUACCAGAGAUAAAGACAUAUAAGUUCCUAUUUCUGUUCUCAUUUUGUCAUGAUGGCUCGAAGUCUCUUUUUGCCUUUGAGUGGACUUUCCUGCUUAAUUUUCUCUCUGAAUAUUCCUAACGCAUCACUUCAAGUCACAGAUGUGAAUGAAUGCAUGGAUACCCGGGCCUGCCCUUCGAAAGCCACCUGCACGAACACUGUGGGAAGCUACUUCUGCACCUGUAAAUCUGGAUAUGAAUCAAGCAAUGGGAAGAGACAGUUUAAUGAUCCUGGAGUGACGUGCAUAGGUGAGUGUUAUUCCAGUAAGAACAUUCUAGAAAAAGAGUAGGUCUACUCAUCCCUCCUAUU